GCGCCCGUAGCUCAGCCCGGAUAGAGCAACGGACUUCUAAUCCGUAGGCCACAGGUUCGAAUCCUGUCGGGCGCGCCA
rnacentral:tRNA from 3 species